ensembl:lncRNA
CUUGUGCUCUUUAUCCGCUCAAAACGCUAUACAGCGAACGAGAAGGCGCUAGGAGCAAAGGAAAGUGGUUUUUCUAACAAACUCAUAUAAUCAAGUGCACGACCUACUCCAAUUUGAUUUUUUCACAUAGUUAGACAUAAUAUAGUACUAUGAAAUGUUUCUGACCCAAAAUAUUACGAAAUAUGAUUGUUUACAUUAAAAUGCAAAAGUUGAUGAAAAAGUAUGAUAAGGUGAAAAAAGUGACAUUUUAUGUCUAGAAAGUCACUUUUCAUCAAAAGUACAAUAACAAAAUUAGUUCCAUUCAUCCUGUGUCCCUAACACACUUGUGCUCUUUAUCCGCUCAAAACGCUAUACAGCGAACGAGAAGGCGCUAGGAGCAAAGGAAAGUGGUUUUUCUAACAAACUCAUAUAAUCAAGUGCACGACGUACUCCAAUUUGAUUUUUUUCACAUAGUUAGACAUAAUAUAGUACUAUGAAAUGUUUCUGACCCAAAAUAUUACGAAAUAUGAUUGUUUACAUUAAAAUGCAAAAGUUGAUGAAAUAGUAUGAUAAGGUGAAAAAAGUGACAUUUCAUGUCAAGAUAGUCACUUUUCAUCAAAAGUACAAUAACAAAAUUAGUUCCCAUUCAUCCUGUGUCCCCUAACACACUUGUGCUCUUUAUCCGCUCAAAACGCUAUACAGCGAACGAGAAGGCGCUAGGAGCAAAGGAAAGUGGUUUUUCUAACAAACUCAUAUAAUCAAUUGUCCGACCUACUCCAAUUUGAUUUUUUUCACAUAGUUAGACAUAAUUUAGUACUAUGAAAUGUUUCUGACCCAAAAUAUUACGAAAUAUGAUUGUUUACAUUAAAAUGCAAAAGUUGAUGAAAAAGUAUGAUAAGGUGAAAAAAGUGACAUUUUAUGUCUAGAAAGUCAGUUUU